CUACGGGGUGCUCCAGUGAGGAAUAUUGCACAAUGGGGGGAACCCUGAUGCAGCAACGCCGCGUGAGUGAAGAAGGCCUUCGGGUCGUAAAGCUCUGUCUUUAGGGAAGAAAAACUAUGGUGAAAAUAUUGCCAUAGUCUGACGGUACCUGAGGAGGAAGCUCCGGCUAACUACGUGCCAGCAGCCGCGGUAAUACGUAGGGAGCGAGCGUUGUCCGGAAUUACUGGGCGUAAAGGGCGUGUAGGCGGGAAUUUAAGUAAGGUGUGAAAACUCCGGGCUCAACUUGGAGACUGCACUUUAAACUGGAUUUCUUGAGGGCAGGAGAGGAAAGUGGAAUUCCUAGUGUAGCGGUGAAAUGCGUAGAUAUUAGGAGGAACAUCAGUGGCGAAGGCGACUUUCUGGACUGCAUCUGACGCUGAGGCGCGAAAGCAUGGGUAGCGAACAGGAUUAGAUACCCGAGUAGUC
rnacentral:rRNA from 1 species